CUCGGUUGCGGCGCAGCCCCGCCGCAGUGCGCAAAGCCAUAUUCGCGAAGUCUCUGAGGCUGAGCCAGUGGCGUAAGGGGCGCCGAGCGCUGUCGAGAUGAGGGUUGCGUGCGUAAAGCCGGAGAGCCCUUUUGAGUCUGCGUUGGCGUGGCUGCUGCUUCUUGCUCCAGUCCCUUUGUUCACUGAGUCCAUAUGCCAUGCUCCAGUUGUAUCAUCCCCUUUUCCCUCGACCUCGUUUUCUCACCGGGAAUAUGGGAAGAAAACGCACCCUUACCUCCCCCGAACCCUGUGCGUGGCGAGUGAGCAUUGCUUUUCUUGGCGCCCCUUGGAGCUGUGGCUGCCCUCGCGUGCCUGGCCUCUCCCGGGGCUGAGCCCUUCGGGUUGAGGCCUGGAGCCCCCGGGCGCAGCGCCGGGACACUACCCGGCUCCAGGUUCACCAUAAGAAAUAGGAUUAAGCUUUUCAAAGCCGGCAAGUUGAACUAUUUAUACUUACCAGAGACAAGGCCUUGCUCUGUUACACAGGCUGGAGUGCAGUGGUGUGAUCAUAGCUCACUACAACCUUGAACUCCUGGGCUCAAAGAAUCCUCCGGCCUCAGCCUCCCAAGUAGCUAGGACUACAGGCACAUAUUACCAUGCCUGACUACUUUUAAAACUUUUUUUUUCCUAAGAGAUAGGGUCUAGCUAUGUUGCCCAGGUUAGUCUUGAACUCCUCACCUCAGCCUCCCAAAGUGCUGGGAUUACAGGUGUAAUCCCACCACACCCAGCCCCAUAUCUGUUUUUUAAACUUUUUUUCCAGUGAUCUUUCCUUGACUUUAUACUUUCUCUCUUAAUAGAGCACAGAGUGAGCAGAAGUAAACAAAAUAGACACUAGAAAAACACAGAAAAGAUCAAUGAAACUAAGUGGUGGCUUUUAUAAAAGCUAAAAAAAUCAAUAAACCUUUAACUAGACUAGCAGAGAAAAAGAGAAGACGUGAAUAAAAUCAGAAAUGAGAAAGGAGACAUUACAAUUGAUACAACAGAAAUAGAAAAGAUCAUGAGGCUACUCUGAACAAUUAUAACCAACAAAUUGGAUUAACUAGAAGAAAUGGAUAAUUUCCUUGACACAUAAAACCUACCAAAAUUGAAUUAUGGAGAGAAAGAAAAUCUGAAUUGACCAAUAACAGGUAGGAGACUGAAUCAGUAGUAAAAAGUCUCUCAUCAAAGAAAAGCCCAGGACCACAUGGUUGCACUGGUGAAUGCUACCAAACAUUUAGAGAAUAUUCCUUGUUUGAAUAUUUUUGAUUAGUGAUUCAAACUGCUUACUCAUUAUUGGUCUAUUCAGAUUUUCUAUUUUUCAUGGUUCAGUCUUCCUAGGUUGUAUGUGUCUAGGAACUUAACCAUUUCUUCUAGGUUAUCCAGUUUGCUGGCAUGUAAUUGUUCAUAGUAGUCUCUUAAGAUCCUUUGUGUUUCUGUGGUACCCAUUGUAAUGUCUCCUCUUUCAUUUAUAGUUAUUUGAGUCUCCUGUCUUUCUUAGCCUAGAUAAUGCUUUGUCAAUUUUCGUUUUUUAAAAAAAAUUUAGUUCACUGAUCUUUUCUUUUGUUUUUCUAGUCUCUAUUUCACUUGUGCUCUAAUCUGUAUUAUUUCCUUACCUCUGCAAACUUAGUUUGUUCUUGUUUAUCUAGUUCCUUCAGAUGGAAAGUUAUUUAUUUAAGAUCUUUCUUUUUCUUAAUUAGGUAUUUAUUGCUGUCACUUUCCCUCUUGAACUCCUUUUGCUGCAUCUCAUAAAUGUGUGUGUGUGUGUGUGUGUGUGUGUGUGUGUGUGUGUGUGUGUGUGAUAGAUCUCACUCUUUUGCCCAGGCUUGAGUGCAGUGGUGUGAUCUUGGCUCACUGCAACCUCCGCCUCCCAGGUUCAAGCAAUUCUCCCACCUCAGCCUCCCAAGUAGCUGGGACUACAGGUGCCUGCCAUCACGCCCGGCUACUUUUUGUAUUUUUAGUAGAGAUGGGGGUUUCACCAUGUUGGCCAGGCUAGUCUUGAACUCCUGACCUCGAGUGAUGUGCCAGCCUUGGCCUCCCAAAAUGCUGAGAUUACAGGCAUGAGCCACUGCACCUAGCCACAUCCCAUAAAUUUCGGUAUGUUGUGUUUCCAUUUUCAUUUGUCUUAAGAUAUUUCUGAUUUCUUCUUUGACCCAUUGGUUGUUCAGGAGUGUUAAUUCCACAUACUUGCAAAUUUUCCAAGUUUUCUCCUGUUAAUUAUUUCCAGUUUCAUACCAGUGUGUGAAACCUUUCCUUGAUGUAGUAAUAGAUAUAAAUACACACAUAUGUAUAGGUUUCCAUCUAUGAUUCCUGGCUCAUAACUCCCAGAGUCCUUGUUACAGUCUUUUGUUACAAUGUUGGUAUGUUAGGCCUCUCUGACUUUCUCCAGUGUUCCUUUCACCUGCCCCAAGGCAGGUCUGUAAUCUGAUUGUGGGUCAUAAGACCACCAUUCCAGAGAGGGUCCCAUCCCAUACCCUGGGGGAAGGAAUGCUAACGUCACGAAGCUUCUAUAAAAAGCCAGGAUGACUGGAUUUAGAGAGCUUCUGGAUAGCUGAACACAUGCAAGUUCCUGGAGGGCAGCUCGCCCAGGGAGGGCAUGGGAGUUCUGUGCCCCUUCCCCCAUACCUCACCCUGAGCAUCUCUUCAUCUGUAUCCUUUGUAAUAAAAUAAAUUGGUAAACAUGUUUCCCUGAGUUCUGUGAGUCACUAUAGCCAAUUAAUUGAACCCCAAGAGGGAUUGUGGGAACCCCAACUUGAAGCCAGUUGUCAGAAGUUCCAGAGGCCCCAGACCUGUGACUGGUGUCUAGCAGUGUUGGGAGAGGGAAAGAGGACAAUCUUUGGGGGGCUGAGCCCUUACCCUGUGGGAUCAGACACUAUUUCCAGGUAGAUAGUGUUGG
rnacentral:lncRNA from 10 species